rnacentral:lncRNA from 1 species
AACCUUGACGUCCCCAUGGGGAAUCGCUCAAAGGUAAUUUGUGUGAUUUUAAUAUUAACUGUUUGUGAGUGCAUACAUAUUAAUAGCGCCUGUAAUCCUAUAUGACAAGCUUUACAUUGUAUGGUACAGAUAGUUGCAUUGAUAAUAAAAGUGUUAUAUUUCAUUAACUGUUAUCAUUUCCGUUCUCUUCCAUUAUGAUAGAAACGGAAGGUGGCACAUGGAACCACGGCUGUGGUCUCCAAAGGAAAGAAGGCCCGCCUUGAGGCACUUCAAACUCCAGCAAGGAUUGCCAAACCUUCGAAGCUGGUACCUCCCCCUCGACCUGUUCCAGAAGCUGCUGUACCAGCUACUCUGGAGGGCGUACCUCCUCCUCGACCUGUUCCAGAAGCUGCUGUGCCAGCCACUCUGGAGGGCAGCGUCUUUGUGCAUUCGAGCAAGUUUGCUCAACCGGAGGGGGAUGACAAGACUCUGUGUGUUGAUGAGUGGCCGUUUCUUCAAACAGAGUUUUGUGAGAAGGUGAACCAGCCAACUGCUCGGGUUGUCUCUGGACAGAGAAAACAAGAGGAGCCAACACCUUGGGGGCCAAAAGUUGUGAUGGCCCAGGCUGAUAAACCAACAGCCAAUGAGACCAGCUUCUUGGGAUGUUCAACCAAGAUGACAGACAUUGAGGACCAUGAGCCAUUUGAACCAGCACCUGAGGUCACUGCGAGCAGUCAGCAGAGCCCGCCUGAGGACAAUGGCCAGCUUGAAGAUCCUCAUGUAACACUUGGCAAUCAGAAGGUACUUAUUUUUAACAUGUUAUUCCCUGUUCCUUGUGAGUUUUCCUGCCAUUUAUUAGAUCUUGGAAAUUAGUUAAAGUAAUGUUAAUAUCAUGUACAAUUCCGUUUUCCCAUUAUACACAGCCAUGAACUACAGCUGAUUGAUUCCUAGCCUUUUUUUAUGAAUUCCUUGUUAAUUUCGAUAUAAACUAUUGGUUACACUCCUUUUUGAUUGAACUACUCUUGUGUUUUUAGGCACCCUGUGAUUUUGCAACUGCCAGAGCUGCUACAUCAAGUCAUGUGACUUAUGACAACCCUGGGUGUAUUCAAGGAUCAUUUGACCAGAGCAGCCACAUAUUCGGGGAAAAUGCAGGUAAGCAGUGUGCUA